GAAGCUUUCCAUCGUCCGCUGACCGAGCUAGAUUAGCCCGGCAUCGGCAUGCCUCGGAGAACAUCUCCUUCGAUCGAAGAUGGUAAUGAUCGGAAGCGAAAACGGACGAUGAAGGAGACAAGAAUGUCUGGGAUGUCUUCUUCUUCCAUGAGAAGGCAACUUGAUUUUUAUGCUAGUCUGAAAGGCCAACAGGUGGAGGGUAGGGCUUCAGGAGAUGAUGCUGGACACCAUUAUUGGUACAUUACGAAAGUGAUCGACUUUGACCGAG